rnacentral:rRNA from 1 species
AUGUACCGGGGCUAAAUACACCACCGAAGCUGCGAAUUGAUACCAAUGGUAUCAGUGGUAGGGGAGCGUUCUAAGUGCAGUGAAGUCAGACCGGAAGGACUGGUGGAGCGCUUAGAAGUGAGAAUGCCGGUAUGAGUAGCGAAAGACGGGUGAGAAUCCCGUCCACCGAAUGCCUAAGGUUUCCUGAGGAAGGCUCGUCCGCUCAGGGUUAGUCAGGACCUAAGCCGAGGCCGACAGGCGUAGGCGAUGGACAACAGGUUGAUAUUCCUGUACCACCUCUUUAUCGUUUGAGCAAUGGAGGGACGCAGAAGGAUAGAAGAAGCGUGCGAUUGGUUGUGCACGUCCAAGCAGUUAGGCUGAUAAGUAGGCAAAUCCGCUUAUCGUAAAGGCUGAGCUGUGAUGGGGAAGCUCCUUAUGGAGCGAAGUCUUUGAUUCCCCGCUGCCAAGAAAAGCUUCUAGCGAGAUAAAAGGUGCCUGUACCGCAAACCGACACAGGUAGGCGAGGAGAGAAUCCUAAGGUGUGCGAGAGAACUCUGGUUAAGGAACUCGGCAAAAUGACCCCGUAACUUCGGGAGAAGGGGUGCUUUCUUAACGGAAAGCCGCAGUGAAUAGGCCCAAGCGACUGUUUAGCAAAAACACAGCUCUCUGCGAAGCCGUAAGGCGAAGUAUAGGGGGUGACACCUGCCCGGUGCUGGAAGGUUAAGGAGAGGGGUUAGCGUAAGCGAAGCUCUGAACUGAAGCCCCAGUAAACGGCGGCCGUAACUAUAACGGUCCUAAGGUAGCGAAAUUCCUUGUCGGGUAAGUUCCGACCCGCACGAAAGGUGUAACGAUUUGGGCACUGUCUCAACCAGAGACUCGGUGAA